UUGGAUAGAGGUUGCAAGAUUUAUCAGUACCCUUAGUCAGGAUUCCGCGAUCCGUUCACGCUGGGGAGAAAGGAAAUUUUGCCGAAGUUCGGGAUGUGCGGACAUCUUCGGUCUGGACGCAGCGGCGAAUAGCUCUGCGGCUGUCAUUCUUUUUAGGAUGGAGCGCUAUCU
rnacentral:ncRNA from 1 species